UACGGAGGGUGCGAGCGUUGUUCGGAAUCACUGGGCGUAAAGCGCGUGUAGGCGGUCCGGUAAGUCCGCUGUGAAAGUCGGGGGCUCAACCCUCGGAUGCCGGUGGAUACUGUCGGGCUUGAGUACGGAAGAGGCGAGUGGAAUUCCUGGUGUAGCGGUGAAAUGCGCAGAUAUCAGGAGGAACACCAAUUGCGAAGGCAGCUCGCUGGGACGUUUACUGACGCUGAGACGCGAAAGCGUGGGGAGCAAACAGG
rnacentral:rRNA from 1 species